CGCACAUUGCGCCCCCUGGUAUUCCGGGGGGCAUGCCUGUUCGAGCGUCGUUAGUACCAAUCAAGCACCGCUUGGAGUUGGGCCACCGUCGUCCGCGCCCCGGCGCGAGGCGGGCCCGAAAAUCAUCGGCGGACGGCCCCGGAAGUGUCACAGGCGUGGUAGAUUUUUCUGACGCCUCAUGGGCACGGCGGGCCGGACGGCCGCAGGACUUCGACCGUCCCCGUCGAAAAGGGACGUAUGUUUGACCUCGAAUCAGGUAGGAAUACCCGCUGAACUUAA
rnacentral:misc_RNA from 1 species